AGUGAACGCUGGCGGUAGGCCUAACACAUGCAAGUCGAACGGCAGCACAGUAAGAGCUUGCUCUUACGGGUGGCGAGUGGCGGACGGGUGAGGAAUACAUCGGAAUCUACUUUUUCGUGGGGGAUAACGUAGGGAAACUUACGCUAAUACCGCAUACGACCUACGGGUGAAAGCAGGGGAUCUUCGGACCUUGCGCGUUUGAAUGAGCCGAUGUCGGAUUAGCAAGUUGGCGGGGUAAAGGCCCACCAAGGCGACGAUCCGUAGCUGGUCUGAGAGGAUGAUCAGCCACACUGGAACUGAGACACGGUCCAGACUCCUACGGGAGGCAGCAGUGGGGAAUAUUGGACAAUGGGCGCAAGCCUGAUCCAGCCAUACCGCGUGGGUGAAGAAGGCCUUCGGGUUGUAAAGCCCUUUUGCUGGGAAAGAAAAGCAGCAGGUUAAUACCCCGCUGUUCUGACGGUACCCAAAGAAUAAGCACCGGCUAACUUCGUG
rnacentral:rRNA from 1 species